AGAGUUUGAUCAUGGCUCAGGAUGAACGCUGGCGGCGUGCCUAACACAUGCAAGUCGAACGAAGCAUUUACGGAUGACCCCUUCGGGGGGAUUUUGUUUAUGACUGAGUGGCGGACGGGUGAGUAACGCGUGGGGAACCUGCCUCUGCCAGGGGGAUAACAGUUAGAAAUGACUGCUAAUACCGCAUAAGCGCACAGAACCGCAUGGUUCGGUGUGAAAAGCCGAGACGGACAGAGAUGGACCCGCGUCUGAUUAGGUAGUUGGUGAGGUAACGGCCCACCAAGCCGACGAUCAGUAGCCGACCUGAGAGGGUGACCGGCCACAUUGGGACUGAGACACGGCCCAAACUCCUACGGGAGGCAGCAGUGGGGAAUAUUGCACAAUGGGGGAAACCCUGAUGCAGCGACGCCGCGUGAAGGAAGAAGUAUUUCGGUACGUAAACUUCUAUCAGCAGGGAAGAAAACGACGGUACCUGACUAAGAAGCUCCGGCUAAAUACGUGCCAGCAGCCGCGGUAAUACGUAUGGAGCAAGCGUUAUCCGGAUUUACUGGGUGUAAAGGGAGCGUAGGCGGCGAUGCAAGUCAGAGGUGAAAGCCCGGGGCUCAACUCCGGGACUGCCUUUGAAACUGUAUGGCUGGAUUGCAGGAGAGGUAAGUGGAAUUCCUAGUGUAGCGGUGAAAUGCGUAGAUAUUAGGAGGAACACCAGUGGCGAAGGCGGCUUACUGGACUGUAAAUGACGCUGAGGCUCGAAAGCGUGGGGAGCAAACAGGAUUAGAUACCCUGGUAGUCCACGCGGUAAA
rnacentral:rRNA from 1 species